UGGGGAUUGCUAAUGGGCGCAGCCUGAUCAGCCUGCCGCGUGAGUGAUGAAGGCCUUCGGGUUGUAAAGCUCUUUUUUCAGGGAAGAAAACGAUCGUACUUGUAGGAGCUUGACCGGACGGUACCAAAAAAGCAACCCCAGGCAAACUACAUGCCCCCCGCCGCUAUAAUA
rnacentral:rRNA from 1 species